GGGUCGGUAGCUCAGUCGGUAGAGCAGCGGACUUUUAAUCCGUUGGUCGUGGGUUCGAGUCCCACCCGACCCACCA
rnacentral:tRNA from 1 species